rnacentral:lncRNA from 1 species
ACUAUAGAGUUUAACACUGAACUAAGGACAUAAGGAAAAGAGAUUGGGAGGAGCUCCGGGCUGCGAUCGCCAACAGCUACCUAAAGACUCCUCGAGGAUCCGCCUGAAGCUGGAAUGAAUCAGCACUCGGGAGCGGGACCAGCUACGCCUGAAUCUGCACACGAGGUACAUGGAGUAAAGUGAGUACUCCAACUCAGUGAGUAACAAAUGUAAAUAACGACUGAAAGUAAGAAAACACGUAGGGCACAAGGCAUUCUAUAAUGAAGCAGUAAGAUCAUUUAAAACAGUAAACCAAUGAAAAAUCAAGUAAAAUCCUCCUUUCAACAAGUAAACAAGUAAUUGACAGGUAAUUAAUGUAAAGUAAACAAAUAGGAGUUCGCCCCUCGGGCACAGUAUCAGCAAUUCCGCCCCUCGGGCAACAUCUCAGAACAGUACAGCCCCUCGGGCUCAAUCUCAUAUCACAAUGGGUACCCACGCCCACUUGGGGUGUGCAGACUCCUGGAGGGGCCCUUAUAACCCAAACGCAAUAACAAGUCAUCUCAUGGCAUCAAAACUAGGCCCUCGGUCUCAUAUCAAUCAAGUCACUUCAUGGCACAUAUAUCUUAGGCCCUCGGCCUCAAAUCAGUAUCAGUGUUUCCUCACAACUAGGCCCUCGGCCUUACUCAGUCAAAAAUACUCGCAAGACCCUCGGGUAAUAGUAAACAGUGUUCAUCAGCCCAAACAUCAUUUAAAAUAUCAUUUAAGUCUUAAAACUGAGUAAACAUGACUAAGAAUGAAAACAGUGAAAAAUAACAGGACUGAGUUCAAGUGUAAAGUCAAAAUAGUGAGGAAAUAUCAAUAAAAUCCCCGAAAGGUUCAAAUAGUUGGCACUAGGCCCAAAUAUGGUAUUCAGCCCAAAUAAUGAUGAUAGCAAAUAGUUUUCGAUCAAAUACACGGUAAAAUCAUCAAUCGGGACGGACCAAGUCACAAUUCUGAAUACUGAACGACCCACGCUCGUCAUCAAGUGUGUGUCUCACCUCAAUAUAGCACUACGAUGUGCAAUUCCGGGGUUUCAAACCCUUAGAACAUCAUUUACAAUCAUUACUCACCUCGAACCGGCUAAAUCUCUAGCUCGCGAUGCCUUUGCCUCUCGAAUCGGCCUCCACGCGCGUCAAAUCUACCCAAAAUCAAAGCGAGGUCGUCAAAAUAUGCUAAGGGAACGAAGCCCAAGCGAAAACAAUCAAUAAAGGGCACAAAUCCCGAAAUUACCAAAACCCGACCCCCAAGCCCACAUCUCGAAAUUCAGAAAUUUUUACAUCAAUAGAUUCCUCAUCUCUCCACGAGUCUAUGCAUAUCAAGAACACUAAAAUCGGAGUCCAAAUGACCCCUCAAAUCCUCCUUUAAAGGCCUCAUAUACUCAAGCCAUAAUCCUCCAUGUUUAGCCCUUCAAUUCCUUUAAUUACAGCCUUAAUCCAUGAAAUACUACCAUAGAAAUGUGUUUUAGGUCAAAAAUCCUUACCUUAACGAAGUUCCCUUGAAAUCCCUCUUUCAAAUCGCCCAAAAAGCUCCAAGUCGAAGUCCAAAAAUGGUGAAAUAACCCAAAAUUCGCGAAUGACUCUUUUUAAUUAUUCUAUCUAGUUGUUCUGCAUCUGCGGCCCCAUCGCCACUUCUGCGAUACCGCAUUUGCGGUAAAUCCUCCACUUAUGCGGAAUUCACUUAAGAGCCCGAAAGUCACACCUGCGAUACGCCUUCUGCAUCUGCGGCUCCGCAGAUGCGACCAUCCUUACCGCUUCUGCGGUCACUGAAAAAUCCUCAUAAUCCACUUCUGCGGCCACACCAUCGCAUAUGCAGCACCACACCUGCGGUCCCCAAACCAUAGGUGAGAAAACACCAGAAGCAGCAAAACUUCAGCAGUUGCAAUAAUAUAUCAACUCCUUCAUCAACCAUCUGAAAUCACCCCGAGGCCCCCGGGACCUCAACCAAAAGUACAAACAUAACCCUAUACCUUAUUUAAACUUGUUCCAAUCAUCAAAACACUUCAAACAACACCAAAACAACCAAACACCUCGGAUUCAAGCCUACGUUUCUAAAAUCUUCCAAAUUCCGAUUUUGAUCAAAAACCCGACCAAACCACAUCUGAAUAACCUGAAGUUUUGCACACACAUCCCAAAUGACCUAACGAAACUACUGCAACUCUCAAAAUUCCAUUCUGACCCCUAUAUCAAAUCUCUCUUAACAACCGAAAAUCGCCAAAAUAUGAACUUCGCCAAUUCAAGACUAAAUCUACUCCAAAUAUCCAAAACCCAUUCUGAUCACAUUCCUAAGUCAUAAAUCACCUCCCGAAGCUAACCGAACCAUCGGGACUCAUAUCCGAUCCCUCUAACACAUAAGUCAACAUCCAGUUGACUUUUCCAACUUAAACUCCCUUAAAAGAGACUAAGUGUCUCAAACUUCUCCAAACUCCUUCCGGACUCGAUCCGACCAACCCGAUACCACAAAACACGGAUAAUGAUGCAUAACGAAGAAGAAAUGGGGAAACCAAAGCGGUAACUCAUGAGACGACUGGUCGGGUCGUCACAUCCUCCCCAACUUAAAUAAAAGUUCAUCCGCAAACGAAUCAAGAAUCAUACCUGAUGCCUGUGAGGAUAUCUGCUCCGCAUCUCCCGCUCGGUCUCCCAGGUAGCAUCCUCCACGGGCCAACCUCUCCAUUGCACUUUCACUGAAGCUAUAUUUUGACCUCAACUUCCGAACCUGACGACCCAAAAUAGCUACUGGCUCCACAUCAUAGGUCAAAUCAUCAUCCAACUGAACCAUGCUGAAGUCUAGAACAUAGGACGGAUCCCCAAAAUACUUUUGGAGCAUAGAAACAUGGAAUUCCGGAUGCACACUCGACAAGUUGGGUGGCAAAGCAAGUUCAUAAGCCACCUCCCCAAUCCUCCGAAGCACCUCAAAAGUCCCAAUGAACCGAGGACUCAAUUUCCCUUUCUUCCCAAAUCUCAUAACACCCUUCAGGGGUGAAACCUUCAAUAGAACCUUCUCGCCAACCAUGUGGGACACAUCCCGAACCUUCCUAUCAGUAUAGCUCUUUUGCCUUGACUGCGCUGUACGAAGCCUCUCCUGAAUCACCUUCACCUUCUCUAAGGCAUCCUGCACCAAGUCUGUCCCCAAUAGCCUAGCCUCACCGGGCUCGAACCAACCAACUGGAGAUCUACACUGCCUCCCAUACAAAGCCUCAUAUGGAGCCAUCUGAAUACUCGACUGGUAGCUGUUGUUAUAAGCAAACUCUGCAAGUGAUAGAAACUGAUCCCAUGACCCUCCGAAAUCAAUGAAACAAGCACGCAACAUGUCCUCCAAUACCUGAAUAGUACGCUCGGACUGCCCGUCUGUCUGAGGAUGAAAGGUUGUGCUAAACUCAACCUGAGUACCCAACUCUCGCUGCACAGACCUCCAAAACUGCGAAGUAAACUGAGUGCCCCUAUCUGAAAUGAUGGAAACUGGGACACCAAGCAAACAAACAAUCUCCCGGAUAUAAAUCUCUACCAACCGCUCUGAAGAAUAAGUAGUACACACAGUAAUGAAGUGUGCGGACUUGGUCAGCCGAUCCACAAUCAACUAAAUAGAAUCGAACUUCUUUAAAGUCCGUGGAAGUCCAACAAUAAAGUCCAUAGUGAUCCUCUCCCACUUCCACUCGGGAAUAUCCAUCUGCUGAAGCAAGCCACUCGGUCUCUGAUGCUUAUAUUUCACCUGCUGAUAGUUGAGACACCGAGCUAGAAAUCCCAUAAUAUCUUUCUUCAUUCUUCUCUACUAGUAGUGCUGCCUUAAAUCCUGAUACAUCUUCGCGGCACCCGGAUGAAUGGAAUACCGCAAGUAUGGGCCUCCUCCAUAAUCAACUCCCGAAGACCAACCAUAUUUGGCACACAAAUCUGGCCCUACAUCCUCAACACCUCAUCAUCUCCAAUGGUCAUAUCUCUAGCAUCGUCAUGCUGAACUCUAUCCUUAAGGACAAGCAAGUGUGGAUCGUUAUACUGGCGCUCUCUGAUGCGAUCAUAUAAGGAAGACCGAGACACCACAAAAACCAAUACUCGACUGGGCUCCGAAAUAUCUAAUCUUACAAACCGAUUGGCCAAAGCCUGAACAUCAACUGCAAGAGGUCUCUCCCCAACUAGAAUAUAUUCCAAACUACCCAUACUCACCACCUUUCGGCUCAAGGCGUCAGCCACCACAUUGGCCUUUCCCGGAUGGUAAAAUAUAGUGAUAUCAUAAUCCUUAAGCAACUCUAACCAUCUACGCUGUCUCAAAUUAAGAUCCUUUUGCUUGAACAAAUGCUGAAGACUACGAUGAUUAGUGAACACCUUACAAGAUACGCCAUACAAGUAAUGCCUCCAAAUCUUCAACGUGUGAACUAUGGCAGCCAACUCCAAAUCAUGAACGGGAUAGUUCUUCUCAUGGGGCUUCAACUGACGAGAAGCAUAAGCAAUAACUCUACCCUCCUGCAUCAACACACAACCAAUCCCAACUCUUGAAGCAUCACAAUACAUGGUAUAUGAACCUGAAGUUGAUGGCAAGACCAACACUGGAGUUGUGGUCAAAGAUGUCUUGAGCUUCUGAAAGCUCUCCUCACACUCGUCCGACCAUACAAAUGAAGCACCUUUCUGAGUCAACUUGGUCAAGGGUUAUGCGAUAGAUGAGAAUCCCUGAACAAACAGGCGAUAAUAGCCUGCCAAACCGAGAAAGCUGUGAAUCUAUGUGGCUGAGGACGGUCUAGGCCAACUCGGAACCGCCUCUAUCUUUUUCGUAUCAACCUGAAUACUCUCACAGGACACCACGUGCCCCAAGAAAACCACUGAACUGAGCCAAAACUCACAUUUGGAUAAUUUUGCAUAAAGUUUCUCCUCCCUCAAUCUCUUCAACACAACUCUCAAAUGCUCCGCGUGCUCCUCCUGACUAUGUGAGUACACCAGAAUAUCAUCAAUGAAAACUAUGACAAACGAAUUGAGAUAAGGCCAGAACAUGUUGUUCAUCAAAUGCAUGAACGCUGAUGGGGCAUUGGUCAGCCCAAAAGACAUUACCAAGAACUCAUAAUGACCAUAACGGGUCCUGAAAGCCGUCUUAAGAAUAUCCGAGUCUCUGAUCUUCAACUGGUGAUAACCCGAACGGAGAUCAAUCUUGGAGAACACCCUCGCUCCUUGAAGCUAGUUGAAUAAAUCAUCAAUAUGAGGUAAAGGAUACUUGUUCUUAAUUGUUACCUUGUUUAAUUGCCUAUAAUCAAUGCACAUUCUCAUUGUUCCAACCUUAUUCUUCAAAAAUAGAACUGGUGCACCCCAAUGUGACAUACUAGGCCGAAUGAACCCUUUAUCAAGGAGUUUCUGAAGUUGUUCUUUUAAUUCCUUCAACUCCGUAGGUGCCAUACGAUACGGCGGAAUAGAAAUAGGCUGAGUGUCCGACACCAGGUCAAUACCAAAAUCAAUAUUCUUGUCCGGUGGCAUGCCCGACAGGUCUGCAGGAAACACAUCGGGAAAAUCCCUCACAACUGGGAUAAAAUCAAUACUGGGAGUCUCGGCUCCGAUAUCCCUCACAAAAGCUAGAUACGAAAGACAACCCUUCCCAACCAUAUGCUAGGCUUUCAAGAAUGAGAUCACUCUACUGGGAACAUAAUCAGUCACACCUCGCCACUCAAUCUGUGGCACACCUGGUAUAGCCAAUGUGAUUGUCUUAGCAUGACAGUCCAAAAUAGCACGAUACGGAGAUAGCCAAUUCAUGCCCAAAAUGACAUCGAAAUCCACCAUACACAAUAAUAAAAGAUCCACAAGGGUCUCCAGACCCCCAAUAAUCACCACACAUGACCGAUACACACGGUCUACAACAACAGUAUCGCCCACCGGGGUAGAUACAUGAACAUGUGAAGUAAGAAACUCACGAGGCAUACCCAAAUAGCGAGCAAAGUAUGAUGACACAUAAGAAAAGGUGGAACUGAGAUCAAAUAAUACAGAGGCAUCUCUGUGGCAGACUAAAAUAAUAUCUGUAAUAAUAGCGUCUGAAGCAAUAGCUUAGGGUCUGCCUGGGAGUGCAUAGAAAUGGGCCUGACCUCCCCCUAAUCGACCUCCCCCUCUAGGGCGACCCCUAGCUGACUGACCCCCAACCCUAGCUGACUGAGCGGGUGGUGGUAAAUAAACUAGCGCUGAAGCCGAUGACUGGCCUCUCUGCUGAGAUGAACUAGCUAAAUGACGAGGACACUGCCUCCAUAUGUGACCCAUCUCGCCACACUCAUAACAACUCCCAGGUGAUGGAGAAGGGGACUGAAGGGAACCCCUCGCACCGGAGUGACUAGCAGAUGCAUAGAAGAGCCCUGGACUGAUGGAGCACGGGACAAACUCUAAGCUGGAAGGGCACUAAGUGAUAACUGGCCCUAUUGAGAACUGUGAUAACCAUGACCCAAAGAUGCCCCACGAUAACCUGGGCGAGCUGGCUGAGCAGACCUGAAUGGACGGCCUCUGUCGUGCUGAAACUGACCUCUCGAAGGAGUACCAUUGUAACUUCCAGAUCCUCGAGGCCUCUUGGCCUCCCUCUUCUCACGCUCCUAGCGACGAACAGACUCAAUCUCAUGGGCAAUAUGCACAACCUCCUCAAACGUAGCACCAAUCGCCCUCUCCUUGGUCAUGAGAAUAUGAAGCUGAUAAGUGAGGCCAUCAACAAACCUCAUAAUCCUCUCCCUAUCAGUCGGGACCGACCAGAUGGCAUAACGAGCCAACUCGGAGAACCUCAACUCAUACUGCGACACAGUCAUCUCCCUCUAACGCAACCACUCAAACUGCCUACGCAGCUCCUCUUUAUGAGACUGCGGCACAUACUUCUCCAGAAAGAUAACGGAGAACUGCUCCUAGGAAAGGGGUGCUGCACCAACAGGCCUACGCCUCUCAAAAUCCUCCUACCAAGUGAAAGCAGCUCCUGAAAACUGAUAGGUAGUAAAAGCGACCCCGCUGGUCUCCAGAAUACCCGCUGUAUGAAGCAUCCUCUGACACUUGUCUAAAAAGACCUGGGCAUCCUCGCCCUCUGCACCACUGAAUGACGGAGGCUAAAGUCUACCAAACCUCUCCAACCUACGCUGCUUGUCCUCCGGCAUAGCAGAAACUUCAUAAUCCUGAGCAACUGCAACCGGCUGGGCUGGAUGUGCCCCCCGAUGCCUGAAGUCCUUGCAUGACCUGCUCAGGUGUGCGAGCGGCGGGAGUCUGAUUGCCUCCCCCGGCCUGAGAUAUAACUGAGGUUGUAGUGGCUGAAACCGCCUGAGCCAGGCCAGUGCAAACUGAUAAGAUCUGUGCCAAGGCCUCCUGAAGACCCGGAAUCACAAUGGGCACAGCUGGUGCCUGAGCUGGUGCUGCUGGAGCAUCCAUAACUAGGACCUGAUCCUGAACUGGGGCAGCUGGUAGAUCUGGAGGUGCUGCUCUAGACGCUCUAUCCCUACCACGACCACGACCGCGUCCUUGGUCUCUGGUGGCAACAACUGGUGGUACUGGGGGUCAUCCACCCCGACCAGUAGCGCGUGUCCUCACCAUCCAUGAGAGAGUAGAGCAAAGGAAGUUUAGUACUCAGAUCAACAAGUUCGCAUGACAAGAAUUUCAAGAAUACGAAGUUUUUCCUAAAGGUUCUGCAGCCUCUCGAGGAUAAAUACAGACAUCCCGUACCGAUCCGCGAGACUCUACUAAAUCUUCUCAUGACUCGUGAGACAUAUGUAACCUAGGCUCUAAUACCAACUUGUCACGACCCUAACCUGGACCCAAUCGUGACGGCGCCUCUCGUGAAGACAAGGCCAGCCAACUAUUCCCAAUUCGACGUUAAACAGUUAAAAUAGCAGUAAAACAGUCUAAGACAUGAUUAAUAAUACGAAGUAGCAGAUAAUAUCGAUAAAAAUAUGGAAGUACAACCUAACACAACCCCAAACGGGGUGUCACAAGUCACGAGAAUCUAACAACACUGAAUACUCAAAUGUAACUACAGAGUUUAACACUGAACUAAGGACAUAAGAAAAAGAGAUAGGGAGGAGCUCGGGGCUGCGAUCGCCAACAGCUACCUAAAGACUCCUCGAGGAUCCGCCUGAAGCUAGAAUGAAUCACCACUUGGGAGAGGGACCAGCUACGCCUGAUUCUGCACACAGGGUGCAUGGAGUAAAAUGAGUACUCCAACUCAGUGAGUAACAAAUGUAAAUAACGACUAAAAGUAAGAAAACACGUAGGGCACAAGGCAUUCUAUAAUGAAGCAGUAAGAUCAUUUAAAAUAGUAAACCAGUGAAAAAUCAAGUAAAACCCUCCUUUCAACAAGUAAUUGACAGGUAAUUAAUGUAAAGUAAACAAAUAGAAGUUCAUCCCUCAGGCACAGUAUCAGCAAUUCCGCCGCUCGGGCAACAUCUCAAAAUAAUACCAGCCCCUCGAGCUCAAUCUCACAUCACAAUGGGUACCCACGCUCACUGGGGGUGUGCAGACUCCUAAAGGGGCCAUUACUGCCCAAGCGCAAUAACAAGUCAUCUCGUGGCAUCAAAACUAGGCCCUCGGCCUCAUAUCAAUCUAGCUACCUCGUAGUGCAUAUAUCUCAGGCCCUCGACCUCAAAUCAGUAUCAGUGUUUCCUCACUACUAGGCCAUCGACAUUACUUAGUCAAAAAUACUCGCAAGCCCCUCGGGCAAUAGUAAACAGUGUUUCUCAGCCCAAAUAUCAUUUAAAAUAUCAUUUAAGUCUUAAAUUUGAGUAAACAUGGUUGAGUAUGAAAACAGUGAAAAAUAACAGGACUGAGUUCAAGUUUAAAGUCAAAACAGUGAGGAAAUAUCAAUAAAAAUUCCCGAAGGGUUCAAAUAAUUGACACUAGGCCCAAAUAUGGCAUUCAGCCCAGAUAAUGAUGAUAGCAAAUAGUUUUCAAUCAAAUACGCAGUAAAAUCAUCAAUCGGGAUGGACCAAGUCACAAUCCCCAAUAGUGCACGACCCCACGCUCAUCAUGAAGCGUGUGUCUCACCUCAAUAUAACACUACGAUGUGCAAUUCCGAGGUUUCAAACCCUCAGAACAUCAUUUACAAUCACUACUCACCUCGAACCGGCUAAAUCUCUAGCUCGCGAUGCCUUUGCCCCUCGAAUCGGCC